rnacentral:rRNA from 1 species
GACGAACGCUGGCGGCGUGCCUAAUACAUGCAAGUUGAGCGAUGAAGAUUGGUGCUUGCACCAAUUUGAAGAGCAGCGAACGGGUGAGUAACGCGUGGGGAAUCUGCCUUUGAGCGGGGGACAACAUUUGGAAACGAAUGCUAAUACCGCAUAACAACUUUAAACAUAAGUUUUAAGUUUGAAAGAUGCAAUUGCAUCACUCAAAGAUGAUCCCGCGUUGUAUUAGCUAGUUGGUGAGGUAAAGGCUCACCAAGGCGAUGAUACAUAGCCGACCUGAGAGGGUGAUCGGCCACAUUGGGACUGAGACACGGCCCAAACUCCUACGGGAGGCAGCAGUAGGGAAUCUUCGGCAAUGGACGAAAGUCUGACCGGGCAACGCCGCGGGAGUGAAGAAGGUUUUCGGAUCGUAAAACUCUGUUGGUAGAGAAGAACGUUGGUGAGAGUGGAAAGCUCAUCAAGUGACGGUAACUACCCAGAAAGGGACGGCUAACUACGUG